rnacentral:rRNA from 1 species
CGAAGUCUGGUGCCAGCAGCCGCGGUUAAUUCCAGCUCCAAAUAGCGUAUAUUAAAGUUGUUGCAGUUAAAAAGCUCGUAGUUGAAUUUUCUGAUUAUGGAUGUAGCGGUUUCCGUUACAUUUGUAGUCAUCCACAUGAGAACCUUUCUCGGCCUUCACUGGUCGGUUGGGGGAUCAUGUACUUUACUUUGAAAAAAUCAGAGUGUUUCAGGCAGGCGUUUGCAUGAAUACACAAGCAUGGAAUAAUGGAAUAGGACUAGGGUCCAUUUUAUUGGUUAUUGGACCAUAGUAAUGAUUAAUAGGGACAGUUGGGGGCAUUAGUAUUUAAUUGUCAGAGGUGAAAUUCUUGGAUUUAUUAAAGACUAACUUAUGCGAAAGCAUUUGCCAAGGAUGUUUUCAUUAAUCAAGAACGAAAGUUAGGGGAUCAAAGACGAUCAGAUACCGUCCUAGUCUUAACUAUAAACUAUACCGACUAGGGAUUGGUUGGGGUCAUUAGAGCCCAAUCAGCACCUUAUGAGAAAUCAAAGUCUUUGGGUUCUGGGGGGA